AGAGUUGUAUCCUGGCUCAGGAUGAACGCUGGCGGUAUGCCUAACACAUGCAAGUCGUACGAGAGUUUUUAACUCUAGUGGCGGACGGGUGAGUAACACGUGAGAAUUUGCCUUUAGGAGGGGGAUAACAAUUGGAAACGAAUGCUAAUACCCCAUAUGCUUUCGAGUGAAAUGGAUUUAUAUUUAUCCGCCUAGAGAGAAGCUCGCGGCUGAUUAGCUUGUUGGUAAGGUAAGGGCUUACCAAGGCGACGAUCAGUAUCUGGUUUGAGAGGACGAUCAGACACACUGGAACUGAGACACGGUCCAGACUCCUACGGGAGGCAGCAGUGGGGAAUUUUCCGCAAUGGGCGAAAGCCUGACGGAGCAAUACCGCGUGAGGGAAGACUGCCUAUGGGUUGUAAACCUCUUUUUUCAGGGAGGAAUCAAUGACGUGUACCUGAAGAAUAAGCAUCGGCUAACUCCGUGCCAGCAGCCGCGGUAAGACGGAGGAUGCAAGUGUUAUCCGGAAUCACUGGGCGUAAAGCGUCUGUAGGUGGUUUAAUAAGUCAACUGUUAAAUCUUGAGGCUCAACUUCAAAAUCGCAGUCGAAACUAUUAGACUAGAGUAUAGUAGAGGUAAAGGGAAUUUCCAGUGGAGCGGUGAAAUGCGUAGAUAUUGGAAAGAACACCGAUGGCGAAAGCACUUUACUGGGCUAUUACUAACACUCAGAGACGAAAGCU
rnacentral:rRNA from 1 species